UUUUUUCUGUGCCCUGGAUUUGUGGACAUGUUCUGAAUUAGACUGGCAGCUGGGAAGGUAGAAUUAUUUCUUCCCAUUCAAAGGUGCGGUUCCUGGAGCAGCAGAACAAGGUUCUGGACACCAAGUGGACCCUGCUGCAGGAGCAGGGCACCAAGACCGUGAGGCAGAACCUGGAGCCGUUGUUCGAGCAGUACAUCAACAACCUCAGGAGGCAGCUGGACAGCAUCGUGGGGGAACGGGGCCGCCUGGACUCGGAGCUGAGAAACAUGCAGGACCUGGUGGAAGACUUCAAGAACAAGUAUGAGGAUGAAAUCAACAAGCGUACCACUGCUGAGAAUGAGUUUGUGAUGCUGAAGAAGGUGCGUGUGGGUGGGAGAGAACUAGCAGCCUGCAGCUAUGCUCUCUAAGCAUGGAGCUCACUUAAGUAGGGUGACGGUGUGUGCAGUGCCAACCAUCCCUGUUUCCCCAGGAUGUAGAUGCUGCCUACAUGAACAAGGUGGAGCUGGAGGCCAAGGUUGAUGCACUGAUGGAUGAGAUUAACUUCAUGAAGAUGUUCUUUGAUGCGGAGCUGUCGCAGAUGCAGACGCAUGUCUCUGACACAUCAGUGGUCCUCUCCAUGGACAACAACCGCAACCUGGACCUGGAUAGCAUCAUCGCUGAGGUCAAGGCCCAGUAUGAGGAGAUCGCCAACCGCAGCCGGACGGAAGCCGAGUCCUGGUAUCAGACCAAGUAUGAGGAGCUGCAGCAGACAGCUGGCCGGCAUGGCGAUGACCUCCGCAACACCAAGCAUGAGAUCUCUGAGAUGA
rnacentral:sRNA from 1 species